GGAAAUACAUGUAUAUGUGGAACCAUUGAAAGGACCAGAAAAAAAGAAGCACACAGGACAGAGACAGUUGUAUGUUAUAAGAUGGCGUCCAUCACAAUGUUCAGUUGAUCCAAUAGAAGAAAUUAUACUGGAUAGUUUGUUUAAUCCUAAGCAUGUUAUUGAAAAGCUGUCAGAGUUAAGUGGAGUUCCUGCUAAGUAUAUCUAUUAUACAGAGGUUAGUCAUUAAAACAUGUA